AGUUAGCUAUCUCAAUUCUCAAACUGCCCAUUAACCAAAAAAAAAAUUCUCAAACUGCCCCUCUCAAAUUUGACUCUAUGAAAACACUAUCGCCCAAAUCAGCCCCUCUAUUGAAAAACCAUCUCUAGCUCUAGAAACUCUCUCCUCCAAAUCGUUAAUAAUUUGCUAGUUCUUCAUUCCAAGAGUGCUGUCACGAGUUGGGGCAAUAUGCCAGGCAAUCUCAGGAAUCAGAUUUUGUUGGAAUUUAGGGUAUCCUGAUACCGGUCAUUUCUCAGUCUAGUGACCAGACUGAGGGUGGUAGAAAGCCAACAAUAACAGAUACAAGACCAACAUUCGCAUAUCAAAGCAUUAAAUUCUCAAUUGAAGACUGUAGCGGCACGCCAAGAGGAAAUACUUAAGAAAAUAUAACUUUUUGUUAGCCCAUCACCAUCAAGGUUAGAGGUGUAAAAGUGAGUUUAAUGAAGACUAAUUGCAAGCACAACACGUUAUUGGUACUUUGGAAGAAACCUCUACAUAUUUGUCUUAGUUUAGGAUAGGAGUAUUAUUUAGUACUAUAUUUAAGUUAGAUUUUCUUUAUGCUGGACUUGUUUUACUUUUCUUUGCCCUGUGAGGAGACAUUACCUUAGUAUAUUAGUAGUUUUUUUAAUUGUAUGAUUAUGGGUGAAUUUUAUCAAUCUGACAUGUUUUAUAAAUUUUAUUUUUGAUUUAUUCAAUUCUAAUUUGAAAAAUAA